GCUUCCGGUUCGAGCUCCCGGAACCGCCGCCUCUAGGGAUGGACGGUCAGACUCUGCGAAAGGCCGAGAGAAGCUGGUCCUGCUCACGAGAGAAAAAGGAGGUAAAUGUGUCCCUGGCGAGGGCUGAUGGGAGGCAACUCUAUUUGAAAGGACCUGAGGGAGCAGGGUGGCGAAUAAGUGUCCCUAAAUAUACUCUUUUCUCUUGGGGUCCCAAGCUUGAAUCCUGGAGCAAAUGAUAGUGAGCAACUAGACUUACCAACCCAGUGUCACUUGUAAUAAUCACUUGUAAUAAUCACUUGUAAUAAUCAUCUCUGAGUGUAUCAGUUAACUUUGUCUGUGUAACAAAUCAUCCCAGAUUUUAGUGGCUUAAAACAACAACCAUAUAUUUAGUUCUGGAUUUGGUGGGUUAGCAGUUUGGGCUUAUCUGGGCAGUUCUGCUG
rnacentral:lncRNA from 10 species